CAAUAGGACCUCCUCUCAGCACACCUGAAUCCUAAAAAGAACUGAUCGUUUGGAAGUCUUCUGAAGGUACAUUCUUGCAGAAAUCACUGUCAUUUUUACCCACUGGAUAGAAGCUCCUUUCUCCAGGGGACACUUCUUGAUGUUCCUUUCAAUUUCUAAACCUCGUUUGAAGGAAGGUAUCCCUUUGUAUGCAGAAGGGUCUGGACUUGGAGCUGAUCAGCUACAACUACAACUAGGAAAUACUGCCAGCCUAUUGUCCUGAGCAAAAAGUACAAGAUUGCUUUCUCCAGCUUCACUCCAGGAAUGAGGAUUGCUUGGCACCGCAGUGGCAUGGACUGAGCAGGGGCUCCUGUCAGCCCUGUUUAAUCCAUGCCAUGGUGGUACCAAGCAACCCUUGUUGCCGAGUUUAAGUCAAGGCAGCAAACUUGUGUAAGACUCCAUGCAUAGCAUGAGCCCAGAAUAUCCUGGUAACCAAAGCUAUUGUUACUAUUAUUACUAUGAUACAUUGUACACUCAGCCAGAUGUUCACACUGCAUUUUGCAUUUUUGUCUGCCUAUGGAGUCCUUCUCAAAGAUCUGAGAUAGGCAGAUGUGGAUGUUUGAUGAUGUUACAGAUAAUGUCACAGAAUGUAAACUGUCCAAGUAAAGCUUCCUUUUGCAACUGA